CCGAGUUUACAACUCCCAAACCCCUGUGAACAUACCAUACUGUUGCCUCGGCGGAUCACCGCGCCCCGUAAAACGGGACGGCCCGCCAGAGGACCCAAAACCCUGUCUUAAUUUGUAUCUUCUGAGUACCACUAUAAAUAAAUCA
rnacentral:misc_RNA from 1 species